AGCUUGCCUAGAUGAUUUUAGUGCUUGCACUAAAUGAAACUAGAUACAAGCGAGCGGCGGACGGGUGAGUAACACGUGGGUAACCUGCCCAAGAGACUGGGAUAACACCUGGAAACAGAUGCUAAUACCGGAUAACAACACUAGACGCAUGUCUAGAGUUUGAAAGAUGGUUCUGCUAUCACUCUUGGAUGGACCUGCGGUGCAUUAGCUAGUUGGUAAGGUAACGGCUUACCAAGGCAAUGAUGCAUAGCCGAGUUGAGAGACUGAUCGGCCACAUUGGGACUGAGACACGGCCCAAACUCCUACGGGAGGCAGCAGUAGGGAAUCUUCCACAAUGGACGAAAGUCUGAUGGAGCAACGCCGCGUGAGUGAAGAAGGGUUUCGGCUCGUAAAGCUCUGUUGGUAGUGAAGAAAGAUAGAGGUAGUAACUGGCCUUUAUUUGACGGUAAUUACUUAGAAAGUCACGGCUAACUACGUGCCAGCAGCCGCGGUAAUACGUAGGUGGCAAGCGUUGUCCGGAUUUAUUGGGCGUAAAGCGAGUGCAGGCGGUUCAAUAAGUCUGAUGUGAAAGCCUUCGGCUCAACCGGAGAAUUGCAUCAGAAACUGUUGAACUUGAGUGCAGAAGAGGAGAGUGGAACUCCAUGUGGUAGCC
rnacentral:rRNA from 1 species